rnacentral:rRNA from 1 species
GGGGGAGGAAGGAAACUGACAAGUGAUUCCCCUAGUAACUGCGAGUGAAGCGGGAAAAGCUCAAAUUUAAAAUCUGGUGGUCCUUGUGGCUGUCCGAGUUGUAAUCUAGAGAAGUGUUAUCCGCGCUGGACCGUGUACAAGUCUCCUGGAAUGGAGCGUCAUAGAGGGUGAGAAUCCCGUCUUUGACACGGACUGCCAGGGCUUUGUGAUGCGCUCUCAAAGAGUCGAGUUGUUUGGGAAUGCAGCUCAAAAUGGGUGGUAAAUUCCAUCUAAAGCUAAAUAUUGGCGAGAGACCGAUAGCGAACAAGUACCGUGAGGGAAAGAUGAAAAGAACUUUGGAAAGAGAGUUAAACAGUACGUGAAAUUGUUGAAAGGGAAACGCUUGAAGUCAGUCGCGUUGGCCGGGGAUCAACCUUGCUUUUGCUGGGCGUACUUUCCGGUUGAUGGGUCAGCAUCAAUUUUGACCGUUGGAUAAAGAUUAAGGGAAUGUGGCAUCUUCGGAUGUGUUAUAGCCCUUGGUUGCAUACACCGGUUGGGAUUGAGGAACUCAGCACGCCGCAAGGCCGGGUAUUUAUACCACGUACGUGCUUAGGAUGCUGGCAUAAUGGCUUUAAUCGACCCGUCUUGAAACGGGGAACCAAGGA